rnacentral:tRNA from 3 species
GAAUGUAGUUCAAUGGUAGAACUUCAGCCUUCCAAGCUGACUACGUGGGUUCGAUUCCCAUCAUUC